rnacentral:lncRNA from 1 species
CACUCUGAUUGGACUGAAAAAAUCAAGGGCAAUAAUCCAGACACUAAAGUAAAUCUGGAAUCCAGAAUGCCACACAAGAUGACGGAUUGAUGACCAGAUGAGCCUAUGGAUGCUCUCACAUCAACGAACACGAAAAAGCAGAGCGAUCACAACAUAAAUAGACAGACUGCAGGAUGGAUGAAUUCAUAGAUCUUUUAGAGAAGGUCAAACUUCUGUGAACUCACUCUCACUCUCAAACCAUCGUGAAAAGAAGAGAAAUUGAUUGCCGCUCACAAAAGGGUUGAAAUGACCAAGAAAUUAUUUUUCUGGGCAAUGAACAUUGUGAGUGAGUGAGAGAGAGAGAGAGAGAGGGAGAGAAAGGGGGAAAAAUGCACAGCCUCUUUGUAUGAAUUGUCUCAAAAGUAACUAUAGUCAUCUUCAAGAUGUUGCCAGUGUUCUGGUCAAAUGGUCACUCUACCAGACCAGAGCGGUUUUGAGUUUCGGUACCUCAUCUGAAGUUUGGCCUCGAAUGUAGCCUUCACAUUUCGCCAAAGGAGAUGGUCAUGAUGUCAUCAUUUCACCUGUCAAGAGUCUGUCAAGAUUGCCUUGGAGACAACUGGCACCCCUGGAACUCUAGUGCCCCAUGGCACAAGCUUUCGAUUGUGGAUAUCACAGUUCCUCGAUUGAUGGAUGCCUCAGUCCACACUAUAUUACCCUGCUGGGGUGACAAAGAAGACAUCUAACACUCCCACCCCUGUGCAAAUAAAGACAUCUAGGGGGGGAAAAUGAAUGCUUCUUUAAUCAUAUGACGUCUGUGUGCACCAAGCCAUUCAAACGGCGCGCCACUAAUGGACUGCUGAUGAAUAGACAAAGGGAACAACCAUCCACAGUGAGCAGAACAAAUAGGCCUCCAGCACAAAUGGAGAUAAAAAAUAAUUUACAACAACUCUGUAAACUGCAACAUGAAGCUGCCUGCUGUUAUUUACAAAAAUCUCCCAGGUACUACAGGUUCUUUGGUUUCCCAGCAUGCACUUCUUCCUCACAGUGACUAGGAUGUUGAGGUUCAGAUUUGCCACUCUGGACUGUUGAGAGACUCCUUCAAAUAAUAACAUUUAUUAAUGCAACACACAAUGUGUAAAUACAUAGGGUAUGUAAACUUUAUCAUUUAGUAAAAUUGUAAUAGAAAACGUAGUGUACAUUUGAUUUGUUA